rnacentral:tRNA from 1 species
CGGGUGAUUAGCUCAGCUGGGAGAGCACCUCCCUUACAAGGAGGGGGUCGGCGGUUCGAUCCCGUCAUCACCAACCA